GAUCAUGAUGGAUCACAUUAGAAUCUAUAUAUAUAUGGACUAUCUACCACGUACUACGUACGGUCUAUGCAUGCUGGUAGUUAUGACCGAACGACACCAAAAAGUGAAAAAACCCUGUGAUUUCAAACGAACAUGUCGCUGCAGCAGCUUGAAUAAUUGGGAAGAAUAUUGGGGGUGAAGAGGACGCAUGCGUCUCAGAACUUUUCUCCAUUUCAUCCUCUUUCUCCUCCUCCUCAUCAUCUUCUUCUUCUUCGUAGAUGGUUUCC
rnacentral:lncRNA from 1 species